GAUCUGGUGCAUAAAGUCAGGCUUGGUUGU
rnacentral:piRNA from 1 species